AUGUCUAAUGUUUUUUCGCCUGGGGAAUUAAUCGGACUAUUGCGAGCAGAACGAGCAGGACUAGCUUUGGAUGAAUCGAUCUAUUAUUGGGCAAUCUUAUUGGGAAUAACAAGGGCUUCCCUAAAUACCCAAAGUUUCAUAUCUGAAGCAAUUUUUCAAGAAACUGCUCGAGUUUUAGCAAAAGCUGCCCUACGAGGUCGCAUUGAUUGGUUGAAAGGCUUGAAAGAAAACGUAGUUCUGGGGGGGAUUAUACCUGUUGGUACCGGAUUCCAAAAAUUUGUGCAUCGUUCCCCACAAGACAAGAACCUUUAUUUCAAAAUAAAAAAAAUCUAUUCGCGUCGGAAAUGA
rnacentral:rRNA from 1 species